UUGAACGCUGGCGGCAUGCUUUACACAUGCCAGUCGCACGGUAACAGGCCGCAAGGUGCUGACGAGUGGCGAACGGGUGAGUAAUGCAUCGGAACGUGCCCAGUCGUGGGGGAUAACUACUCGAAAGAGUAGCUAAUACCGCAUACGAUCUAUGGAUGAAAGCGGGGGACCGUCAGGCCUCGCGCGAUUGGAGCGGCCGAUGUCAGAUUAGGUAGUUGGUGGGGUAAAGGCUCACCAAGCCAACGAUCUGUAGCUGGUCUGAGAGGACGACCAGCCACACUGGGACUGAGACACGGCCCAGACUCCUACGGGAGGCAGCAGUGGGGAAUUUUGGACAAUGGGCGCAAGCCUGAUCCAGCAAUGCCACGUGCAGGAAGAAGGCCUUCGGGUUGUAAACUGCUUUUGUACGGAACGAAACGGCUCUGGUUAAUACCCGGGGCUAAUGACGGUACCGUAAGAAUAAGCACCGGCUAACUACGUG
rnacentral:rRNA from 1 species